CUGAAAUGUUUGUUUGUGAGUGUUCUACCUUAUACUCCCCCAGGGUGUUAUUUCUAUUACUGUACAACACUAUGUAUUGCUUGUAAUUUCUUCUAGCUGCCAUUACACUCUAAGAGGAAUUCUCUACAUUAAUGUUUACAGGUUGUUAAUAUUCCUUAUUAUUUUAUCUACAUGUUUUGGGUUUCCUACAUUCUUUGUUUCCGGUAUUUUGUUGGGCGUUUUUGUGAGGUACAUCAGGGGUACUACCUUUCACGUAUUAUUCAUUUCAUCACAUAUUCGUGUUAAUUCUCUGUAUU